UUGUUUUUUAAAAAGUUUCUUACUUUUAAUUUAUUUACCUGGCAGCUCAGCAAAAAUUUCAUCUUGUGGAAUGUGGCGGAACACCGUAAACGUCAAACACCGGCAUGUAACCCAGGAGUAUUUACAAAUAAUUGUGUUUGCUGGCAAACGAAGAAAAA